GACAGAGGAUGCAAGCGUUAUCCGGAAUGAUUGGGCGUAAAGCGUCUGUAGGUGGCUUUUUAAGUCUGCUGUCAAAUCCCAGGGCUUAACCCUGGACAGGCGGUGGAAACUACCAAGCUGGAGUACGGUAGGGGCAGAGGGAAUUCCCGGUGUAGCGGUGAAAUGCGUAGAGAUCGGGAAGAACACCAAUGGCGAAAGCACUCUGCUGGGCCGAUUACUGACACUGAG
rnacentral:rRNA from 1 species